GGGGCCUCGGGGACCACAGGGAAAACAAGGAGCGAUUGGAUUGCCAGGUUCACCGGGAACAAGUGGAAUGGUUGGUCAAGCAGGAGAAAAAGGAGGGCAGGGAUUGCCAGGACCUUCAGGUGACCCUGGAUCUGUUGGAUUGAAUGGUCCACAGGGCCAUCCUGGUCCAGCCGGUUUUGAGGGGCCAACAGGGCCAAAAGGAGAACAUGGAUCAGCUGGACCUACUGGGAAGCCUGGUCAAAAUGGCUUUCCGGGAGAACAGGGACCUCAGGGC